AAGAUUUUAGUUUAUGUAAAAAUAAUUUAUUUACAAUAAAUAGAAUAAUUAAAAAUUCUAA
rnacentral:tRNA from 2 species